rnacentral:rRNA from 1 species
GAUGAACGCUGGCGGCGUGCCUAAUACAUGCAAGUCGAGCGAACAGACGAGGAGCUUGCUCCUCUGACGUUAGCGGCGGACGGGUGAGUAACACGUGGAUAACCUACCUAUAAGACUGGGAUAACUUCGGGAAACCGGAGCUAAUACCGGAUAAUAUAUUGAACCGCAUGGUUCAAUAGUGAAAGACGGUUUUGCUGUCACUUAUAGAUGGAUCCGCGCCGCAUUAGCUAGUUGGUAAGGUAACGGCUUACCAAGGCAACGAUGCGUAGCCGACCUGAGAGGGGGAACGACCACACUGGAACCGAGACACGGUCCAGACUCCUACGGGAGGCAGCAGUAGGGAAUCUUCCGCAAUGGGCGAAAGCCUGACGGAGCAACGCCGCGUGAGUGAUGAAGGUCUUCGGAUCGGAAAACUCUGUUAUUAGGGAAGAACAAAUGUGUAAGUAACUAUGCACGUCUUGAGGGUACCUAAUCAGAAAGCCACGGCUAACUACGUG